GGUGAACGCUGGCGGCGUGCCUAAUACAUGCAAGUCGAGCGAACAGACGAGGAGCUUGCUCCUCUGACGUUAGCGGCGGACGGGUGAGUAAGACGUGGAUAACCUUCCUAUAAUACUUGGAUAACUUCGGGAAACCGGAGCCAAUACCGGAUAAUAUAUUCAACCGCAUGGUUCAAUAGUGAAAGACGGUUUUGCUGUCACUUAUAGAUGGAUCCGCGCCGCAUUAGCUAGUUGGUAAGGUAACGGCUUACCAAGGCAACGAUGCGUAGCCGACCUGAGAGGGUGAUCGGCCACACUGGAACUGAGACACGGUCCAGACUCCUACGGGAGGCAGCAGUAGGGAAUCUUCCGCAAUGGGCGAAAGCCUGACGGAGCAACGCCGCGUGAGUGAUGAAGGUCUUCGGAUCGUAAAACUCUGUUAUUAGGGAAGAACAAAUGUGUAAGUAACUAUGCACGUCUUGACGGUACCUAAUCAGAAAGCCACGGCUAACUACGUG
rnacentral:rRNA from 1 species